UACGAAGGGGGCUAGCGUUGUUCGGAAUUACUGGGCGUAAAGCGCACGUAGGCGGAUAUUUAAGUCAGGGGUGAAAUCCCGGGGCUCAACCCCGGAACUGCCUUUGAUACUGGAUAUCUUGAGUUCGGAAGAGGUAAGUGGAAUUGCGAGUGUAGAGGUGAAAUUCGUAGAUAUUCGCAAGAACACCAGUGGCGAAGGCGGCCUACUGGUCCGAUACUGACGCUGAGGCACGAAAGCGUGGGGAGCAAACAGG
rnacentral:rRNA from 1 species